UGGUUUCAUACAUAAUGAUCAUAAGUCAAUCCUUAUUUUUGUUUAGAUUAACGGUUAAUCAGGCUUGGGCGUUUGUUCUCUUGUCGUGUGAGGCGCAUUUCUUCUCUUAUGGUGGCGAAAUACUUCUGCAUAAACUCCAUAGAUUUAUCACAUGAACAUAUAUCGGUUGCAUGUGCACUUUUGUAUCACAUAUGUAUGAUUGACAUUGCAAUCAGUUUAGAUGAUAUUCAGGUGCGGACCAUGGACCCGGCGCUCUUGAUUUGGGAGGCGGUGGACUCGGCUCCGGUUGUCUAUCUGAUGCGAAAAUACGCCGCAUUCCAAUAAUCCCCAUGUCUUGUGAGGUCCCGGUCUCAUCACCAAUCCUGCCAUCCAAAAUUUCGAUCAGAACCAAACGUAGAUGAAGUAAAAUUGUAAAGAAGAGAUAAAUAUUUGCUCUUGAAUUUGAGAUUUUGCGAUAUCGACCAUGGCCUGCUCUUGCAAGUCUCAGAAAGCAAGGCCAGGGAAAUAAUGAAGGCUACCAAAUAUAGACGCCAUGGGCAAGAAGCCAUG
rnacentral:lncRNA from 1 species